UACGUAGGUGGCAAGCGUUGUCCGGAUUUAUUGGGUUUAAAGGGUGCGUAGGCGGCUUUGUAAGUCAGUGGUGAAAUACUCCAGCUCAACUGGAGAGGUGCCAUUGAUACUGCAGAGCUAGAGUACUGAUGAGGUAGGCGGAAUGGACGGUGUAGCGGUGAAAUGCGCAGAUAUCAGGAAGAACACCAAUGGCGAAAGCAGCUUUCUGGGACGGUACUGACGCUGAGACGCGAAAGCGUGGGGAGCGAACAGG
rnacentral:rRNA from 1 species